GAGAUUUGAAAGUAUUGCUUUGCUGAAAACAUCUGGCUGCCAGUCUAGAAUGUGACUGUUAAGAUUCUCAAUCCACUGUGGUGAUGGUAUUACUUUGGGACUUACCAAUUUGGCCUUCUUCCAGAGCUGAAAACUGAUUACAAAUAUGAAACAGAUUUCACUACUGGACUUGAAUGCCAUAUAAAAAAACAACAGGAUCUUCAGAAUAAUUGAAAAAGAGCCUCACCAAAGAAUAGAUAGAAUGUGAAUGGCAAGGUAUCAAGGAGGUUUUGGUAUUAGGUCUGAUGCAUAACAGACCCUGAAAUGUUGGUGGAGUGAAUGAAGAAUCUCUGUCGCUACAU